rnacentral:sRNA from 1 species
AUCACUCAGGCUCUGAGGGAGGCACUGCCCGGGGUCACUUCACACAGCAGGCAAGUGACUCAGAACUGAGCAGGCAAGUUCUGAGGCUCAGUGAGGCAUACCGGAAGAGGAUGCAUCAGCUCCUACAGGCUCUGCACCAGAAGCUGGCGGCUCUGCGCCAGGGGCCAGAAGGUCUGGUGGGUGCCGACAAGCCCAUCUCCUACAGGACCAAGCCGCCAGCCUCCAUCCACAGGGAGCUCCUUGGUGUCUGCAGCGACCCCUACACACUGGCCCAGCAGCUGACCCACGUGGAACUGGAGCGGCUGCGGCACAUCGGGCCUGAGGAGUUUGUUCAGGCCUUUGUGAACAAGGACCCUCUGGCCAGCACAAAGCCCUGCUUCAGUGACAAGACCAGCAACCUAGAGGCUUACGUGAAAUGGUUCAACAGGCUGUGCUACCUGGUGGCAACUGAGAUCUGCAUGCCAAGAAGAAGCAGAGGGCCCAGGUGAUUGAGUUCUUCAUCGACGUGGCCCGCGAGUGCUUCAACAUUGGCAACUUCAACUCCCUCAUGGCCAUCAUCUCCGGCAUGAACAUGAGCCCUGUCUCCAGGCUGAAG